rnacentral:misc_RNA from 1 species
GAUGAAGAACGUAGUGAAAUGCGAUACGUAAUGUGAAUUGCAGAAUUCAGUGAAUCAUCGAAUCUUUGAACGCAUAUUGCGCUCUUUGGUAUUCCGAAGAGCAUGCUUGUUUGAGUAUCAGUAAACACCUCAACCUCUUCUUGAUUUUUCAAAAGGAGGGUGGACUUGAGCUAUCCCAACAACCUUUACCGGUCGGCUGGCGGCUUGAAAUGCAGGUGCAGCUGGACUUUUAUCUGAGCUAAAAGCAUAUCUAUUUAGUCCUCGUCAAACAGGAUUAUUACUUUUGCUGCAGCUAACAUAAAGGAUAAUUGUCCUCUUUGCUGACUGAUGCAGGAUUUUACGACACUUUAUGUGUUGUUCAACUCGAUCUCAAAUCAAGUAAGACUACCCGCUGAACUUAAGCAUAUCAAUAAGCGGAGGA